CACGUAGGGUGCGAGCGUUGUCCGGAAUUAUUGGGCGUAAAGAGCUCGUAGGCGGUGUGUCGCGUCGGCCGUGAAAACCUGCAGCUUAACUGUGGGCUUGCGGUCGAUACGGGCAUCACUGGAGUUCGGCAGGGGAGACUGGAAUUCCUGGUGUAGCGGUGAAAUGCUUAGAUAUCGGGAGGAACACCAGUGGCGAAGGCGGUGCUCUGGGCCGGAACUGACGCUGAGGAGCGAAAGCGUGGGUAGCAAACAGG
rnacentral:rRNA from 1 species